GGGGUNAAAGACGGCAGCUCAACUGUNGCAGUGNCCUUGAUACUGAAGUGCUUGAAUGCGGUUGAAGACGGCGGAAUGAGACAAGUAGCGGUGAAAUGCAUAGAUAUGUCUCAGAACACCGAUUGCGAAGGCAGCUGUCUAAGCCGUUAUUGACGCUGAUGCACGAAAGCGUGGGGAUCGAACAGGAUUAGAUACCCUGGUAGUCCACGCCCUAAACGAUGAUGACUCGAUGUUUGCGAUAUACCGUAAGCGUCCAAGCGAAAGCGUUAAGUCAUCCACCUGGGGAGUACGCCCGCAAGGGUGAAACUCAAAGGAAUUGACGGGGGCCCGCACAAGCGGAGGAGCAUGUGGUUUAAUUCGAUGAUACGCGAGGAACCUUACCCGGGCUUGAAAGUUACUGAAGGGCGCAGAGACGCGCCCGUCCUUCGGGACAGGAAACUAGGUGCUGCAUGGCUGUCGUCAGCUCGUGCCGUGAGGUGUUGGGUUAAGUCCCGCAACGAGCGCAACCCCUAUGUUUAGUUGCCAGCACGUCAAGGUGGGGACUCUAAACAGACUGCCUGCGCAAGCAGAGAGGAAGGCGGGGACGACGUCAAGUCAUCAUGGCCCUUACGUCCGGGGCUACACACGUGCUACAAUGGAUGGUACAGCGGGCAGCUACACAGCAAUGUGGUGCCAAUCUCGAAAAGCCAUUCACAGUUCGGAUCGGGGUCUGCAACUCGACCCCGUGAAGUUGGAUUCGCUAGUAAUCGCGUAUCAGCAAUGACGCGGUGAAUACGUUCCCGGGCCUUGUACACACCGCCCGUCAAGCCAUGAAAGCUGGGGGUACCUAAAGCAUGUAACCGCAAGGAGCGUGUUAGGGUAAAACCGGUAAUUGGGGCUAAGUCGUAACAAGGUAGCCGU
rnacentral:rRNA from 1 species